GCCCCACAAACGCAACCAAAAAAAAAAAAAGCGAUUCAAGCCUAUCACCUAAAAUGUGAAUAGGAGAGAAGAGAGAAUAAAAAUCACAGCCAUUCUUUUCUCUUUAAAUUUCUUAACAGCGAAGAGAUGGUGGCAUAUCUUUUGGGACGAAGGGGAUUGGUGUUCCUUACUUUUGAGAGCAAAAGGAACUGGGUGGACGGGGGAUUGCGAACUUUUAAAGGUUUGAUGCGGG
rnacentral:lncRNA from 1 species